rnacentral:rRNA from 1 species
GCGGUGGAGCAUGUGGUUUAAUUCGAAGCAACGCGAAGAACCUUACCAGGUCUUGACAUCCCGAUGCUAUUUCUAGAGAUAGAAAGUUACUUCGGUACAUCGGUGACAGGUGGUGCAUGGUUGUCGUCAGCUCGUGUCGUGAGAUGUUGGGUUAAGUCCCGCAACGAGCGCAACCCCUAUUGUUAGUUGCCAUCAUUCAGUUGGGCACUCUAGCGAGACUGCCGGUAAUAAACCGGAGGAAGGUGGGGAUGACGUCAAAUUAUCAUGCCCCUUAUGACCUGGGCUACACACGUGCUACAAUGGUUGGUACAACGAGUUGCGAGUCGGUGACGGCGAGCUAAUCUCUUAAAGCCAAUCUCAGUUCGGAUUGUAGGCUGCAACUCGCCUACAUGAAGUCGGAAUCGCUAGUAAUCGCGGAUCAGCACGCCGCGGUGAAUACGUUCCCGGGCCUU